CCAAUGGACCGAAACCUCGACUUUUAACCCGAUAAUCCUGGAACCGAACUCGGUAAUAGACAAAUCCGGUGACUCAAACUGAGAAUUGCAAAAAAAGGGAUCCCUUUCUCGAUUCCACUUCUCUCCCCAAUAUUCUUUAUCUUUCUUUCUAUUUUCCUUUCUCUGUUUCUCUUCUCUCUUUGAUUAUUUGCCUCUCAAUCUCUCUGUGAGUAUGUGCGAUUCCGGUGGUGGGUGCGUACAAUAGGAACCAUGGUUAUCUGUGUUUGCAU
rnacentral:lncRNA from 1 species